rnacentral:rRNA from 1 species
UACGGAGGUGGCAAGCGUUGCUCGGAAUCACUGGGCGUAAAGGGCGCGUAGGCGGGGAGGUAAGUCGGGUGUGAAAUCCCUUGGCCCAACCGAGGAACUGCGCCCGAGACUGCUUCUCUUGAGUCCCGGAGAGGAAGAUGGAAUUCCCGGUGUAGCGGUGAAAUGUGUAGAGAUCGGGAGGAACACCGGUGGCGAAGGCGGUCUUCUGGACGGUGACUGACGCUGAGACGCGAAAGCGUGGGGAGCAAACAGG